GACGAACGCUGGCGGCGUGCUUAACACAUGCAAGUCGAACGGAAAGGCCCUGCUUUUGUUGGGUGCUCGAGUGGCGAACGGGUGAGUAACACGUGAGUAACCUGCCCUUGACUUUGGGAUAACUUCAGGAAACUGGGGCUAAUAUCGGAUAGGAGCUCCUGCUGCAUGGUGGGGGUUGGAAAGUUUCGGCGGUUGGGGAUGGACUGGCGGCUUAUCAGCUGGUUGGUGGGGUAGUGGCUUACCAAGGUUUUGACGGGUAGCCGGCCUGAGAGGGUGACCGGCCACAUUGGGACUGAGAUACGGCCCAGACUCCUACGGGAGGCAGCAGUCGGGAAUAUUGCACAAUGGGCGGAAGCCUGAGGCAGCAACGCCGCGUGCGGGAUGACGGCCUUCGGGUUGUAAACCGCUUUCGCCUGUGACGAAGCGUGAGUGACGGUAAUGGGUAAAAAAGCACCGGCUAACUACGUG
rnacentral:rRNA from 1 species